GACGAACGCCGGCGGCGUGCUUAACACAUGCAAGUCGAACGGUAAGGCUCCAGCUUGCUGGGGUACACGAGUGGCGAACGGGUGAGUAACACGUGGGUGACCUGCCCUGCACUUCGGGAUAAGCCUGGGAAACUGGGUCUAAUACCGGAUAGGACCGCACCGUGAGGGUGUGGUGGAAAGUUUUUUCGGUGUGGGAUGGGCCCGCGGCCUAUCAGCUUGUUGGUGGGGUAAUGGCCUACCAAGGCGGCGACGGGUAGCCGGCCUGAGAGGGUGGACGGCCACAUUGGGACUGAGACACGGCCCAGACUCCUACGGGAGGCAGCAGUGGGGAAUAUUGCACAAUGGGCGGAAGCCUGAUGCAGCGACGCCGCGUGGGGGAUGACGGCCUUCGGGUUGUAAACUCCUUUCACCAUCGACGAAGGGUUUCUGACGGUAGAUGGAGAAGAAGCACCGGCUAACUACGUGCCAGCAGCCGCGGUAAUACGUAGGGUGCGAGCGUUGUCCGGAAUUACUGGGCGUAAAGAGCUCGUAGGUGGUUUGUCGCGUCGUCUGUGAAAUUCCGGGGCUUAACUCCGGGCGUGCAGGCGAUACGGGCAUAACUUGAGUACUGUAGGGGAGACUGGAAUUCCUGGUGUAGCGGUGAAAUGCGCAGAUAUCAGGAGGAACACCGGUGGCGAAGGCGGGUCUCUGGGCAGUAACUGACGCUGAGGAGCGAAAGCAUGGGGAGCGAACAGGAUUAGAUACCCUGGUAGUCCAUGCCGUAAACGGUGGGCGCUAGGUGUGGGUUUCCUUCCACGGGAUCCGUGCCGUAGCUAACGCAUUAAGCGCCCCGCCUGGGGAGUACGGCCGCAAGGCUAAAACUCAAAGGAAUUGACGGGGGCCCGCACAAGCGGCGGAGCAUGUGGAUUAAUUCGAUGCAACGCGAAGAACCUUACCUGGGCUUGACAUAUACAGGAUCGCGCCAGAGAUGGUGUUUCCCUUGUGGCUUGUAUACAGGUGGUGCAUGGUUGUCGUCAGCUCGUGUCGUGAGAUGUUGGGUUAAGUCCCGCAACGAGCGCAACCCUUGUCUUAUGUUGCCAGCACGUUGUGGUGGGGACUCGUAAGAAACUGCCGGGGUUAACUCGGAGGAAGGUGGGGAUGACGUCAAAUCAUCAUGCCCCUUAUGUCCAGGGCUUCACACAUGCUACAAUGGUCGGUACAGUGGGUUGCCAGUCCGUGAGGGCGAGCUAAUCCCGCAAAGCCGGUCUCAGUUCGGAUCGGGGUCUGCAACUCGACCCCGUGAAGUCGGAGUCGCUAGUAAUCGCAGAUCAGCAACGCUGCGGUGAAUACGUUCCCGGGCCU
rnacentral:rRNA from 1 species